CGAUCCAUUGACAGGCCUAAAUGGGAAUAAGCCGUCAAGUCGACAAGAAAGAGAGGAGAGAGAGGAGGAGGUUCUGCGGCUAGGAGGUUCUGCGGCUAUCUGCGGCUACCUGCGGCUACCUGAGGAGAUUCUUUUUUUGUCGAUUCUUGUUUGGGAAGCAACUGGAAAAUCUUCAGCAAUUGGUUGAUUUAUUGAUGCAGAAAGAAGUGAUCAGCAAUCAACAAAUUAUGAGCCUUCAAAAUGAUGUAACAGUUCUCCAAAACACUCUUCUGAACAACGAGCAAAUAUCGCAGCAGAUCUGGGCGCAGUUUUCUAAUGAAAUCAAAAGCUUCAAAAUUGAUGUGAAAGCCGAUAUCGCAGGGGUGAAAGCCGAUAUCGCAGGGGUGAUUAAUUCCGAUAUGUAUGAGAAGAUCGUCAAUAAAAUGACGGUGAUGUUUAACGAGGUAUACAGAAGGCUUCCGGAGCCUGUUGCUCAAAGCCGUGCAGAGAAUGUCUCAAGCCGUGCACAGAAUGUCUCAAGCAGUACGCCCCAAAACUUCUAGAUUGGUUAUGGUGCUUUGCUGGUUGGAUCUCUCCUGUGUUUGCUUCUGUUUGUUGUUUGUAAUCUGUUGCUGAACCAAUGUUACUUAUGUUAUCUGAACUUUUCAUUUGUAUUGGUGUCGUGGACUAAACUUUUUAUUUGUAUUGUGACUCGUGUGUUAUGUAUUGAAUAAUAUUUUUUCCUGUUAUUCAAUUCAUGUUAUUCAAUCAGGAUGCCAAGAAUCCAUUCUGUCUUGACUGGGCAAAGGUAACCUACAGUUUACUACUUUUCUAGUUCUAUAAAUAAUUAUGAGGAUGAAAGUCUGCAUGCACUGCUUGUUUGUUUGAAAAAUGCUAUAUGAUUAUUAAUGGCACCCCCAUUUGGGUUUUAUAGAGUUAAUGAGGACUUAAUGGAACCAAGAAACAAACUGUACACAUACAGUUUGUAGAAACAGGAUAAAUUGUAGAAAUUGUAGAAAUAGGAUAAAUGAUUUACUUUUUAUAUUGUUUGUCCAUGAUAUAGAAAUUUGAUGCUGCUGUGGGAGAUAUUACAAUCACUACAAAUAGAUCACGGUAUGUAGACUUCACAAUGCCUAUAUCAUCAGGAGGGGUGUCUAUUAACAAUGAUAUAUACAAAUGCGUGUGAAAUGUACCAGUGAAAUCAGUAGCAAGCUUCUAACCGACAUCUCUUCAGCUCUUCUUGAAUAAUAGCCUAGACUAGUAUGCUUAUAAGCUUCAAAUACUAUCAUUUUCAUGUUUUCCAUGACGAAUUUUGAUGGAUGUAAGCGGAAGCAAGAGUAUAACCCAGAUGACAUGUUCAGAGGUACUAUUCAGGCUCGUCAAUUCAUAAAGAAGUUCUCUGAGAUGCCGCUUGACAAGAUGGACACUGAACAGGGUCGGUUGUUAGUGUUUUUCACUAACUUU